UACGUAGGGACCAAGCGUUGUUCGGAUUUACUGGGCGUAAAGGGCGCGUAGGCGGCGGGGUAAGUCAGCUGUGAAAUCUCCGAGCUUAACUCGGAACGGUCAGCUGAUACUGCUGUGCUAGAGUACAGAAAGGGCAAUCGGAAUUCUUGGUGUAGCGGUGAAAUGCGUAGAUAUCAAGAGGAACACCUGAGGCGAAGGCGGGUUGCUAGGCUGAUACUGACGCUGAAGCGCGAAAGCUAGGGUAGCAAACGGG
rnacentral:rRNA from 1 species